GCACAGCGCGGGGCCUUGCCCGAGAUCGCGGGCCACAUGUCUCGGCGUGGAUUAGUCGGUGAGUGCCACGGCUCCGAAAAACCCCGACAGCA
rnacentral:sRNA from 1 species